UACGUAGGGGGCAAGCGUUGUCCGGAUUUAUUGGGCGUAAAGAGCGUGUAGGCGGCCAUUCAGGUCAGCUGUGAAAACUCGAGGCUCAACCUCUAGACGUCGGUUGAAACCGUUUGGCUAGAGUCCGGAAGAGGAGAGUGGAAUUCCCGGUGUAGCGGUGAAAUGCGCAGAUAUCGGGAAGAACACCCGUGGCGAAGGCGGCUCACUGGGUCUUUUUCUGACGCUGAUGCACGAAAGCUAGGGGAGCAAACGGG
rnacentral:rRNA from 1 species